rnacentral:rRNA from 1 species
UGGGGAAUAUUGCACAAUGGGCGAAAGCCUGAUGCAGCAACGCCGCGUGAGUGAUGAAGGCCUUCGGGUUGUAAAGCUCUGUCUUCUGGGACGAUAAUGACGGUACCAGAGGAGGAAGCCACGGCUAACUACGUGCCAGCAGCCGCGGUAAUACGUAGGUGGCAAGCGUUGUCCGGAUUUACUGGGCGUAAAGGAUGCGUAGGCGGAUACUUAAGUCAGAUGUGAAAAUCCCGGGCUUAACUUGGGAACUGCAUUUGAAACUGGGUAGCUAGAGUGCGGGAGAGGAAAGUAGAAUUCCUAGUGUAGCGGUGAAAUGCGUAGAGAUUAGGAAGAACACCAGUGGCGAAGGCGACUUUCUGGACCGUAACUGACGCUGAGGCAUGAAAGCGUGGGGAGCAAACA